UACGGAGGGUGCGAGCGUUGUCCGGAAUCACUGGGCGUAAAGGGCGCGUAGGCGGCGCGAGCAGUCGAUCGUGAAAGUCCGGAGCUCAACUCCGGAUCGGCGGUCGAUACUCUCGUGCUUGAGCACUGUAGAGGCAGAUGGAAUUCCGGGUGUAGCAGUGAAAUGCGUAGAGAUCAUGAGGAAGACCAGUGGCGAAGGCGGGUCUCUGGACAGUUCCUGACACUGAGACACGAAGGCCAGGGGAGCAAACGGG
rnacentral:rRNA from 1 species